CAAGUCGAGGGGCAGCAUCGCGAUAGCUUGCUAUUGCGGAUGGCGACCGGCGCACGGGUGAGUAACGCAUAUCCAACCUUCCCGCAACUGGGGAAUAACCUUGCGAAAGUAAGACUAAUACCCCAUGGCCUCCAUAGAAGACAUCUGAAAUGGAGUAAAGGUUCCGGCCGGUUGCGGAUGGGGAUGCGUCCGAUUAGCUUGACGGCGGGGUAACGGCCCACCGUGGCAUCGAUCGGUAGGGGUUCUGAGAGGAAGGUCCCCCACAUUGGAACUGAGACACGGUCCAAACUCCUACGGGAGGCAGCAGUGAGGAAUAUUGGUCAAUGGGCGGAAGCCUGAACCAGCCAAGUAGCGUGAAGGACGACUGCCCUAUGGGUUGUAAACUUCUUUUAUGCGGGGAUAAAGUUCGCCACGUGUGGCGUUUUGCAGGUACCGCAUGAAUAAGGACCGGCUAAUUCCGUGCCAGCAGCCGCGGUAAUACGGAAGGUCCAGGCGUUAUCCGGAUUCAUUGGGUUUAAAGGGAGCGUAGGCCGCCUUUUAAGCGUGUUGUGAAAUGUAGGGGCUCAACCCCUGCACUGCAGCGCGAACUGGAGGGCUUGAGUACACACAAAGUAGGCGGAAUUCAUGGUGUAGCGGUGAAAUGCUUAGAUAUCACGAAGAACUCCGAUUGCGAAGGCAGCUCACGGGAGCGCAACUGACGCUGAAGCUCGAAAGUGCGGGUAUCGAACAGGAUU
rnacentral:rRNA from 1 species